AUACGGCGGGUGCAAGCGUUAUUCGGAAUCACUGGGCGUAAAGGACGCGUAGGCGGGUUGGCAAGUCAGAUGUGAAAUCCUACUGCUUAACUGUAGAACUGCAUUUGAAACUGCUAACCUAGAGUAUGGGAGGGGGAGAUGGAAUUAGUGGUGUAGGGGUAAAAUCCGUAGAUACCACUAGGAAUACCGAAAGCGAAGGCGAUCUCCUGGAACAUAACUGACGCUAAGGCGUGAAAGCGUGGGGAGCAAACAGGAUUAGAAACCCUAGUAGUCC
rnacentral:rRNA from 1 species